GAUGAAGAACGUAGCGAAAUGCGAUAAUUAAUGUGAAUUGCAGAAUUUAGUGAAUCAUCGAAUCUUUGAACGCACAUUGCGCCCUUUGGUAUUCCUUAGGGCAUGCCUGUUCGAGCGUCAUUUGAAACCUCAAGCUCAGCUUGGUGUUGGGUGUCUGUCCCCGCCUCACCGCGGGGACUCGCCUCAAAAUCAUUGGCGGCCGGUACGUUGGCUUCGAGCGCAGCAGAAACGCGAACUCGAGGCCCGGCGGAUCGGCGACCAGAAGUCACUUCUUCACAGUUUGACCUCGGAUCAGGUAGGGAUACCCGCUGAACUUAAGCAUAUCAAUAAGCGGAGGA
rnacentral:misc_RNA from 1 species